UUUCGCCUUGAGAGCUGCCAACCUGCC
rnacentral:piRNA from 1 species